GACGAACGCUGGCGGCGCGCUUAACACAUGCAAGUCGAACGGAAAGGCCUGCUUUCCCUUGUGGAUUGCGGGUACUCGAGUGGCGAACGGGUGAGUAACACGUGAGUGAUCUGCCCCCAACUUGGGUAUAAGCCUGGGAAACUGGGUCUAAUUCCCGAUAGGACUGCAGGGUGGUGCCUGUGGUGGAAAACGAUUUUCUAGUGGUUGGGGAUGAGCUCGCGGCCUAUCAGCUUGUUGGUGGGGUAAUGGCCUACCAAGGCGGCGACGGGUAGCCGGCCUGAGAGGGUGGACGGCCACAUUGGGACUGAGAUACGGCCCAGACUCCUACGGGAGGCAGCAGUGGGGAAUAUCGCACAAUGGGCGGAAGCCUGAUGCAGCGACGCCGCGUGGGGGAUGACGGCCUUCGGGUUGUAAACUCCUUUCGACCGCGAGGAAGCCACCUGGUUGGAAGGGUGGUGACGGUAGUGGUAGAAGAAGCACCGGCUAACUACGUG
rnacentral:rRNA from 1 species